CCUACGGGUGGCAGCAGUGAGGAAUAUUGGUCAAUGGACGAGAGUCUGAACCCGCCAAGUAGCGUGAAGGAUGACUGCCCUAUGGGUUGUAAACUUCUUUUAUAUGGGAAUAAAAUGUUCCACGUGUGGGAUUUUGUAUGUACCAUAUGAAUAAGGAUCGGCUAACUCCGUGCCAGCAGCCGCGGUAAUACGGAGGAUCCGAGCGUUAUCCGGAUUUAUUGGGUUUAAAGGGAGCGUAGGUGGAUUGUUAAGUCAGUUGUGAAAGUUUGCGGCUCAACCGUAAAAUUGCAGUUGAAACUGGCAGUCUUGAGUACAGUAGAGGUGGGCGGAAUUCGUGGUGUAGCGGUGAAAUGCUUAGAUAUCACGAAGAACUCCGAUUGCGAAGGCAGUUCACUGGACUGCAACUGACACUGAGGCUCGAAAGUGUGGGUAUCAAACAGGAUUAGAUACCCUAGUAGUC
rnacentral:rRNA from 1 species